rnacentral:rRNA from 1 species
CAGUCGUACCGGCGGAUAAUCAGCCUUUUGGGUGCGAUUCUGUGGAGUUUGAGGAGCUUAACACCUUCAUGCUUUGCAUAUUCGUGCUCUUGGGUGUACUUGCUCGUAUGGUUGGUUAACAUCAAUUUUGGUGGUCAUAAAAUGACUGGAGGAAUGUAGCUUCGAUCUCGUAUUGAAGUGUUAUAGCCUUCGGUAGAUGUGACGAUUGGGAUUGAGGAUUGCAACGGAUACCCGUUCGGGGCUACUCGUCUGAUCUC